UAUUAAAAUUUUUAUCUAUUUCUAUUAUUAAAAAAUUGACGUGGUUGACAAAAUAAUCAAACAGUUACAUCUAGCAUGUCAUAUGUACCUCAUUCUAAAAUAUCGUGGUCAGUUUUUAACAGUAGAAAUAGAUGAAAUUUUUAAUU
rfam:Gossypium hirsutum cultivar TM-1 unplaced genomic scaffold scaffold506.1, whole genome shotgun sequence